AGCUCCAAUAGCGUAUAUUUAAGUUGUUGCAGUUAAAAAGCUCGUAGUUGGAUUUCGGGAGGGUACCACCGGUCCGCCAUUGGUGAGCACUGGUGCGGCCUCUUUACUGGUGGUGACGGCGUUCUGGGGUUUGUUCCUCGGGAGUCGGAGUCACCGAUGUUACUUUGAGUAAAUUAGAGUGUUCAAAGCAGGCGAUCGCUGUGAAUACGAUAGCAUGGGAUAACACGAUAGGACUCUGGCCUAUCUUGUUGGUCUGUGGGACCGGAGUAAUGAUUAAGAGGGACAGUCGGGGGCAUUCGUAUUUCAUGGUCAGAGGUGAAAUUCUUGAAUUCAUGAAAGACGAACAUCUGCGAAAGCAUUUGCCAAGGAUGUUUUCA
rnacentral:rRNA from 1 species